rnacentral:rRNA from 1 species
AAAUAAUGCUGGGGUACGAUGCGGAGCGAAAUUUAGUAGCGAAGUAGCUGAUUUCACACUGUCGAGAAAAGUCUCUAUCGAGGUUAAAGGUGCCUGUACCGCAAACCGACACAGGUGGGUGAGGAGAGUAUCCUAAGGCCAGCGAGAGAACUGUUGUUAAGGAACUCGGCAAAAUGACCCCGUAACUUCGGGAGAAGGGGUGCCUUCGAAAGAAGGCCGCAGAGAAUAGGCCCAAGCGACUGUUUACCAAAAACAUAGGUUUCUGCUAAGUCGCAAGACGAUGUAUAGGAGCUGACGCCUGCCCGGUGCUGGAAGGUUAAGGGGAUCUGUUAGAGCAAUCGAAGCAGUGAACUUAAGCCCCAGUAAACGGCGGCCGUAACCAUAACGGUCCUAAGGUAGCGAAAUUCCUUGUCGGGUAAGUUCCGACCCGCACGAAAGGCGUAACGAUUUGGGCACUGUCUCAACAACAGACUCGGUGAAAUUGUAAUACCGGUGAAGAUGCCGGUUACCUGCGACAGGACGGAAAGACCCCAUGGAGCUUUACUGUAGCUUGACAUUGAGUCUCGGUGCUACAUGUACAGGAUAGGUGGGAGACUAUGAAGCAUGGACGUCAGUCUGUGUGGAGUCAUCCUUGGGAUACCACCCUUGUAGUACUGGGAUUCUAACCAGAGGCCAUGAAUCUGGUCUUGGGACACUGUCAGGUGGACAGUUUGACUGGGGCGGUCGCCUCCCAGAAAGUAACGGAGGCGCUCAAAGGUUCUCUCAGUACGGUCGGAAAUCAUACGAAGAGUGUAAAGGCAAAAGAGAGCUUGAUUGCAAGACAUACAGGUCGAGCAAGGACGAAAGUCGGACUUAGCGAUCCGGUGGUUCCGCAUGGAAGGGCCAUCGCUCAACGGAUAAAAGCUACCCUGGGGAUAACAGGCUGAUCUCCCCCAAGAGUCCACAUCGACGGGGAGGUUUGGCACCUCGAUGUCGGCUCAUCACAUCCUGGGGCUGUAGUAGGUCCCAAGGGUUGGGCUGUUCGCCCAUUAAAGUGGUACGCGAGCUGGGUUCAGAACGUCGUGAGACAGUUCGGUCCCUAUCCGUCGCAGGCGUAGGAAAUUUGAGGAGACCUGUCCUUAGUACGAGAGGACCGGGAUGGACGUACCGCUGGUGUACCAGUUGUUCUGCCAAGGGCAUGGCUGGGUAGCUAAGUACGGAAAGGAUAAGCGCUGAAAGCAUCUAAGCGCGAAGCCCACUUCAAGAUAAGAUUUCCCACCGCAAGGUUAAGAUCCCAGGAAGACUACCUGGUUGAUAGGUCAGAGGUGUAAGUGCAGUAAUGUAUUUAGCUUACUGAUACUAAUAGAUCGAGGACUUGACAAA